rnacentral:rRNA from 1 species
GACGAACGCUGGCGGCGUGCCUAAUACAUGCAAGUAGGACGCAGUUGCGAACGGACGAGUAAUGUGUAGGUAAUUACCUAUUAGAGGGGGAUAACUAUUGGAAACGAUAGCUAAUACCGCAUACUAGUAGAUGGACCUGCGUGGUAUUAGCUAGUAGGUUGGGUAAUGGGCUAACUAGGCAACGAUACAUAGACGAACUGUGGGGGUGUUCGACCACACUGGAAAUGAGACACGGCCCAGGCUCCUAAGGGAGGCAGCAGUAGGGAAGCGUCGGCCAUGGGGGGAACCCUGACCGAACAACGCCGCGUGAGUGAAGAAGUUUUUCGGAUCGUAAAGCUCUUUUAUUAAGGAAGCGGUACUUAACCAAAAAGGGACAACUAACUACGUGCCAGCAGCCGCGGUAAUUC